rnacentral:rRNA from 2 species
GUUGGGUAGGGGAGCGUUCUGUAAGCCUGCGAAGGUGGCCUGUGAGGGUUGCUGGAGGUAUCAGAAGUGCGAAUGCUGACAUAAGUAACGAUAAAGCGGGUGAAAAGCCCGCUCGCCGGAAGACCAAGGGUUCCUGUCCAACGUUAAUCGGGGCAGGGUGAGUCGACCCCUAAGGCGAGGCCGAAAGGCGUAGUCGAUGGGAAACGGGUUAAUAUUCCCGUACUUGGUGUUACUGCGAAGGGGGGACGGAGAAGGCUAUGUUGGCCGGGCGACGGUUGUCCCGGUUUAAGCGUGUAGGUGUGUGUUCCAGGUAAAUCCGGUUCACUUUAACACUGAGGCGUGAUGACGAGGCACUACGGUGCUGAAGCAACAAAUGCCCUGCUUCCAGGAAAAGCCUCUAAGCAUCAGGUAACAUCAAAUCGUACCCCAAACCGACACAGGUGGUCAGGUAGAGAAUACCAAGGCGCUUGAGAGAACUCGGGUGAAGGAACUAGGCAAAAUGGUGCCGUAACUUCGGGAGAAGGCACGCUGACACGUAGGUGAAGUGAUUUACUCAUGGAGCUGAAGUCAGUCGAAGAUACCAGCUGGCUGCAACUGUUUAUUAAAAACACAGCACUGUGCAAACACGAAAGUGGACGUAUACGGUGUGACGCCUGCCCGGUGCCGGAAGGUUAAUUGAUGGGGUCAGCGCAAGCGAAGCUCCUGAUCGAAGCCCCGGUAAACGGCGGCCGUAACUAUAACGGUCCUAAGGUAGCGAAAUUCCUUGUCGGGUAAGUUCCGACCUGCACGAAUGGCGUAAUGAUGGCCAGGCUGUCUCCACCCGAGACUCAGUGAAAUUGAACUCGCUGUGAAGAUGCAGUGUACCCGCGGCAAGACGGAAAGACCCCGUGAACCUUUACUAUAGCUUGACACUGAACAUUGAGCCUUGAUGUGUAGGAUAGGUGGGAGGCUUUGAAGUGUGGACGCCAGUCUGCAUGGAGCCGACCUUGAAAUACCACCCUUUAAUGUUUGAUGUUCUAACGUGGACCCGUAAUCCGGGUUGCGGACAGUGUCUGGUGGGUAGUUUGACUGGGGCGGUCUCCUCCUAAAGAGUAACGGAGGAGCACGAAGGUUGGCUAAUCCUGGUCGGACAUCAGGAGGUUAGUGCAAUGGCAUAAGCCAGCUUGACUGCGAGCGUGACGGCGCGAGCAGGUGCGAAAGCAGGUCAUAGUGAUCCGGUGGUUCUGAAUGGAAGGGCCAUCGCUCAACGGAUAAAAGGUACUCCGGGGAUAACAGGCUGAUACCGCCCAAGAGUUCAUAUCGACGGCGGUGUUUGGCACCUCGAUGUCGGCUCAUCACAUCCUGGGGCUGAAGUAGGUCCCAAGGGUAUGGCUGUUCGCCAUUUAAAGUGGUACGCGAGCUGGGUUUAGAACGUCGUGAGACAGUUCGGUCCCUAUCUGCCGUGGGCGCUGGAGAACUGAGGGGGGCUGCUCCUAGUACGAGAGGACCGGAGUGGACGCAUCACUGGUGUUCGGGUUGUCAUGCCAAUGGCACUGCCCGGUAGCUAAAUGCGGAAGAGAUAAGUGCUGAAAGCAUCUAAGCACGAAACUUGCCCCGAGAUGAGUUCUCCCUGAGACUUAGAGUCUCCUGAAGGAACGUUGAAGACGACGACGUUGAUAGGCCGGGUGUGUAAGCGCAGCGAUGCGUUGAGCUAACCGGUACUAAUGAACCGUGAGGCUUAACCUUACAACGCCGAAG